CCAAUGGGAAAAUGAAGCUGUGCCUGGGUUCAUCCUGGGCAGCCUGAUCUAGUAUUUGGCAGCCCUGCCUGCCGCAGAGGGUUGAAGCUCAGUGGUCUCUAGGUCCUUCCCAACUGAAGCUCAGUGGUCUCUAGGUCCUUUCCAACUGAAGCUACUCUGUGAUUUUGAUGGGGGGGUGUGUAGCGUGACAGCCUUCUUUGGACCACUGUGGAAUUACUCCUGUUAAGUUUUCCAAGCAGAUGAACUUGGGUUUGUGUGGAGCUGCUGAUGAUGUUGAAAGGAGAUAGAAUUUGCAGAUCUCUUGCAGGAGAUAGCUGAUAUGACCCAGGCAGGCUGUAGGCUCAUUGUUUUUGUCACAGAAAAGACAAACUAAGAGAUUCUGGAAGCAACAAUUUUUCUUCAAAUUUUUUUUUAUUUUUUUAUCUUUAAUCUUAAAGCAGGGUAUACUUCUCCAUUAUGAAAUAAUUCCUCAAGAUUCUUUGAAAGCAUCAAUAUAUCAGCCUUCAUUGUAAAAUGUUGGUUGUGAAUGAGAUAAUGUUUCUGUGCUAACUGAAAAGUACUGUCCUGCUUUCAACCCAGCUGCUGGAGUCCAGUCUUUUUGAGACUGUACUCUUGCUUACCUUCAUGUGACCGGGCAGGUGGUUCAGACUCUGCUGUGCAGCACUUUGCUCCUCAGUGAUGGUAGAAAAAUACUAUCUGCAUGAUAUUAGUCUUCAAAUGUUUGAAGUGUGAACUCUUUGCGGGUUCUGUUGUCCUAGUCACUAUGCAAAUUCAGGUUAAGAGUGCUCAUGCUCUCCAAACUACUUAUUCACUGAUUUAUUUUACUUUUAUUUCCCCUUCCUUAGCUUACUGCAGUGUUUCUGUGAGUUAUGCCUGAUUUGGCCAUGGGGCUUAAGUCUGCCUUUCAAAUUAGUAGUUCUAUUUGGGUAGAACGAGCUAUUCCAGGACUUUGUGAAAACGGAGUGUUUCAGGAAUGUGAUGGUGUGCUGUAUCCUGGGAAGAAGUCUACCUAGUUCCAUACUUCUGCGCUACUUGUAAAGAAUUAUGUGGUUCCUGCUCUGAGCCCAGAGCCUGCUUCCUGCCCAAGAGGCUUUCCCUGAGCCACUGGCAAAUGUGAAAGCCCAUUUGUUGUUCCUAAACAUUUACUGUAGCUAAUUUUGGUUUAACACAACCAUUGUCAGUGCCACAUAGUAUGAGGUGAUGAAUUGCUGUGUACUGUACAUAUCUGUUUGACUAGGAUAUCAUCUGAGUAGUGGCACCGUGCCAAAUACAUUUUCAUUCUCUUACUUCAUGCUCUUUGAAAGGCUUGUUAUCUAGCCUGAGACAACUACCACUGUGGUGGACUCCUGCUUAAGCUAUUUGUGAACUGAUAUCAUCGUGCUGCUUUGAGAACUAUGCCGAAAGCUUAAGCUUCAGAAUUUUGUCUGAAUGCUUCCGACCUUUCCCUUCACAUUCCAUUAAAUAAUGACCUGGGCCAGCUUCUUACUUACCAAAGGAAAACAUCAGGGGUUUAUGCUGGGCACAGUGAGGAGACCACUGCAGUUUUUCAUGCCAUGCCAAAAUAGAUGUUCCAUUUUGUUUUGAUGUUGCUUUAUCAUUAGUUUUCUCUCAUUUGCUGUAGAAGUAAAAAUCAAGCAAAUGCUGUAGCACACCUUUAUGCUUCAGGGUUUCUGUGAGUGUACUAUUUCUACAGAGAUGGCUGUGAUAAUGGAAUUUUUUAUUUUAUUUUUUCAAAAACAGCUCAGAUUUUUUGGCAGAACCGUACGUGAGUGAAAGCUGUGAGAGGAUUCAAGGUUUUUGAGCAUUUAUUGGGUUUGAAUGCACUCCCAUUUUUAGUACGAUUCUGAAUUUUGCUUCUAAAUAAGACAUCACAGAUAAUUGUAAACUUUCCUAAAAGUUUUCCAAUGGUGUAUUUUUGGAUGCAGCAGCAAGAGCAGAUUUUUGUUUUGUUUUGCGCUGUGUGUGUGUGUGGUUCUCUGAGGACAGAUCACUGCAGAACGUGGUAGCCAGCCUCUGCUUCCUGCUCAGGUUUCCAAAACUCACUAAGAAUGGAAGGACAGGCAAGGCUUUGUAUUUAUGGUUUGGUUACUAUGUAUAGGUCGGCCUGUGAAAUCCAAGUGGCCACUAUUUCCCAUUGCCUUAGGUAAGGCUUUGUGCAGGUUCAGUGCUGAACCCCAGCUGCUGAGUAGCUGGCAGGUGCUGUGAUACUUAAAUGGAUCCCAGGACAAAUGUGUUGCUGUCUGCCUCUGGCCAAUAUGUACAUCAUAAGUAUGAAGCUCACUUAUCUUAAUAUUGAAAAAGUGAAGGUUUAAUUUUCCACAUAAAGUCUGGUUUGUCCAGUGAAGUAGAAGAAAACAGUUUGUAUCCUGCUGCUUGUGACUGGACCACUGUUUAUACGUUGUGUUGAACAAGACAGUUGUUCAUGUGGAACAAAAGGCUACAGGGCACCAUAAGUUUAGUACAGAGACACAACAAGAACUGCUCCUGGGAGAAGAACUCCCUGAAAGCAGCCCUGUGGAAAGGGACUUGGAGGUUCUGGUGGGUGAGAAGCUGGAUGUGAGGUUGAGGCAGCAGUGUGUACUUACAGCUGUGCUGCACCGUGCCUGGAGGUGCCUCAGGCCAUGGACGGGCCCUGAGCUGGGGGGGCUGUCAGGCCCUCUCUGUCCCGCUGUUCUGCAGUGCUAUGAAGCAAAGUCCUUAACUCAGAAAUUCUGUAAAUACCGUCUUGAAUUUUUAUUCCUGUUUUCUGCAGAACUAUUUGCUGAAUUGACAGAAUGUUUCACCAGUUGGAGCUGGAGUCAGGGGGAGCGAAGGGGUGAAAGGCUUUCGGGGAAGGAAUGAUAUUUCCAAAACAGCAUUUCUGGACAAAAAAAAAAAAAAAAA